rnacentral:rRNA from 1 species
UGGGGAAUUUUGGACAAUGGGCGAAAGCCUGAUCCAGCCAUGCCGCGUGAGUGAAGAAGGCCUUCGGGUUGUAAAGCUCUUUUAGUCGGAAAGAAAGAGUUGCAAUGAAUAGUUGUGAUUUAUGACGGUACCGACAGAAAAAGCACCGGCUAACUACGUGCCAGCAGCCGCGGUAAUACGUAGGGUGCGAGCGUUAAUCGGAAUUACUGGGCGUAAAGGGUGCGCAGGCGGUCUUGCAAGUCAGAUGUGAAAGCCCCGGGCUUAACCUGGGAAUUGCGUUUGAAACUACAAGACUAGAGUGCAGCAGAGGGGAGUGGAAUUCCAUGUGUAGCAGUGAAAUGCGUAGAGAUGUGGAAGAACACCGAUGGCGAAGGCAGCUCCCUGGGUUGACACUGACGCUCAUACACGAAAGCGUGGGGAGCAAACA